rnacentral:lncRNA from 1 species
UUAUAUAACUUUGUGGUCUCAUUCAAAUCAUAAAUUAAUAAUUUGUUGAGAUUACAAACACAAUUGACUAUGAUACUUUAAUUACAUAAACUAUAACUCUAUUGUUACCUGUUUACAUAAAAUAUGACUCUUUUGUUACUUGCUUCUUUUUUUUAAAAAAUAAAUUUAGUUGGAUCUCAUCUUUUAUUUUUCUUAUUGCAUCUAGAAGCACUGUUGUUGACUUCUUGAAUUAUAAUAAGAAAGGAAAAAUAUCCACCAUCCACCAAUUUUUUUCAAUUUUUAAAAAAAUACACAAUUCUUUUUUUUUUUGUUGGAAUCCACCUAAAGUUAUAUUUUGUUUCACUUUUCCACUUCAGUUUGGAAUCCGUUAAGAAAACUAACGGAAACUUUAAAAAAUAACUAUUUUACCCCCAAAACGAAAAUUACAAUUUCACCCUAAAAAUUGACAAAAAAUUAUUUUCCCCAUCGGUCAAUAAAGAAAUUAAUUCUACAACCACCAAAUGCAAGGUUUUUUUUUUUAAAUAUGUCUGUAAUUAGAAUGUUAAAUUAUAACAGUAGUAUUAAAAAUAGCCUAAUCUCGCAAAUCAUCAAUUGAAUUUAAGAUAAGUGGAGUUUUAUUUUUCAUUGAGUUAUAAUCUCUAGUAGUUAAUAUUUGUUUGUACUUCAUUAACGUACCAAUAAUGAUAUUCAUCAUUAAAUCUGAUUAUUUUUUUACAUUUUUAGGGUGAAAUUGUAAUUUUCGUUUUGGGGGGUAAAAUGGUCAUUUUUUUAAGUUUCCGUUAGUUUUGUUAACGGAUUCUAAACGGAAGUGGAAAAGUGAAACAAAAUGUAACUUUAAUUGAAUUCCAGCAAAAAAAAAAGAAUUGUGUAUUUUUAAAAAAGUUGGAAAAAAUGGGUGGACGGUGAAUAUUUUCCCAAUAAGAAAUUAUGAAGUGUUGUUGAUGCUUUGAGUACUUCCUUGAGCGUAGCAGGCUCCAAAGUUACUAUAUCAUCCUCAGGUUCUUCUUCAACGGGAUUUUCGUUGAUGUGAGCAACGAUUUCUUCUGAACUUAAAGCGCUAAACUUACAUGCAUGUAGGGUGCUCUUUACCAUACUCACAUAAUGCUU